AACGAACGCUGGCGGCAUGCCUAACACAUGCAAGUCGAACGAGACCUUCGGGUCUAGUGGCGCACGGGUGCGUAACGCGUGGGAACCUGCCCUUAGGUUCGGAAUAACUCCCCGAAAGGGGUGCUAAUACCGGAUAAUGUCUUACGACCAAAGAUUUAUCGCCUUGGGAUGGGCCCGCGUUGGAUUCGCUAGUUGGUAGGGUAAAAGCCUCCCAAGGCGACGAUCCAUAGCUGGUCUGAGAGGAGGAUCAGCCACACUGGGACUGAGACACGGCCCAGACUCCUACGGGAGGCAGCAGUGGGGAAUAUUGGACAAUGGGCGAAAGCCUGAUCCAGCAAUGCCGCGUGAGUGAUGAAGGCCUUAGGGUUGUAAAGCUCUUUUACCCGGGAUGAUAAUGACAGUACCGGGAGAAUAAGCUCCGGCUAACUCCGUG
rnacentral:rRNA from 1 species